rnacentral:rRNA from 1 species
UACACAUGCAGUCGAGGGGUAACAGGUAGCUUGCUACGCUGACGACCGGCGCACGGGUGCGUAACGCGUAUAGAAUCUGCCUUCUACAGAGGGAUAGCCUUUAGAAAUGAAGAUUAAUACCUCAUAAUACCAAUUUACAGCAUUUUAAAUUGGUUAAAGAUUUAUCGGUAGAAGAUGACUAUGCGUCCUAUUAGCUAGAUGGUAAGGUAACGGCUUACCAUGGCUACGAUAGGUAGGGGUCCUGAGAGGGAGAUCCCCCACACUGGUACUGAGACACGGACCAGACUCCUACGGGAGGCAGCAGUGAGGAAUAUUGGGCAAUGGAGGCAACUCUGACCCAGCCAUGCCGCGUGCAGGAAGACUGCCCUAUGGGUUGUAAACUGCUUUUAUACAGGAAGAAACCGACAUACGAGUAUGUCCUUGACGGUACUGUAAGAAUAAGGACCGGCUAACUCCGUGCCAGCAGCCGCGGUAAUACGGAGGGUCCGAGCGUUAUCCGGAAUCAUUGGGUUUAAAGGGUCCGCAGGCGGUCAAUUAAGUCAGAGGUGAAAUCCCAUAGCUCAACUAUGGAACUGCCUUUGAUACUGGUUGACUUGAGUUAUACGGAAGUAGAUAGAAUAAGUAGUGUAGCGGUGAAAUGCAUAGAUAUUACUUAGAAUACCGAUUGCGAAGGCAGUCUACUACGUAUAUACUGACGCUGAGGGACGAAAGCGUGGGGAGCGAACAGGAUUAGAUACCCUGGUAGUCCACGCCGUAAACGAUGGAUACUAGUUGUUGGGAUUUAAUCUCAGUGACUAAGCGAAAGUGAUAAGUAUCCCACCUGGGGGAGUACGGUCGCAAGACUGAAACUCAAAGGAAUUGACG